rnacentral:lncRNA from 1 species
UUCGCCCUUCACCAAUGGUUCUCGCUAAACCAUGUCCCUCCACACAACAUCCAAACAUUCUCUGAACACCACCAGGCUCGGUGACUCCACCACCUCUCUGGGCAGCCCAUUCCAGUGCCUGACCACCCUUUCAGAGAAGCAGUAUUUCCUAACGUCCAGCCUGAACCUUCCCUGGCGCAGCUUGAAGCCAUUCCCUCUCGUCCUAUCACUAGUCACACGAGAGAAGAGGCUGACCCCCAGCUCACUACAACCUCCUUUCAGGACAGUUUCAGAACAGACUGGGAUUUCUCUGAAAGCCAAAGGCCAGGAAAAAAGGAUUAAAUCACCAUGUUACAAAGCCAUGAUAUCUAGGUUGGAGGUCUGCAUGGAUUGAAAGGGGAUGCAUUCCCCCCUUCGAAGCAGGAAGCUAACCUGUCCAUAAGAGCUCAUGGAGAACGUGAAUUCAAAGUCAGGAGCAAUACUAGGAGUACUGGGGCUGACAUGGAGCAUCACUGUGCUACCUGGGCAUCCGGACCCACCAUCACAUCAGCCUGAGAUUUUCUGUGAUCACUGACACAGCAGACAGAAGAAUUAAAACCUGAAGGAGGCUCUCAGGUGACAAAUGAGGUCUUGUCAAGGAGACUAAUAUCUCUUUUUCCACGUUCCAGUCUGUGAUCAUGGGAAGCUUCCUGGCUUUGGAGUAAGGUA